GUCUUUUUGUUAAAAAUUUAAAGUCUCGCCUGCCCAAUGAAUUAUUAAAUGGCCGCGGUAUAUUGACCGUGCUAAGGUAGCAUAAUCAUUAGUUUCUUAAUUAGAAGCUGGAAUGAAGGGUUGGAUGAAAAAAUUACUGUCUUAAAUUUAAUUUAUUAGAAUUUUAUUUUUAAGUUAAAAAGCUUAAAUAAAUUUAAAAGACGAGAAGACCCUAUAGAGUUUAAUAAUUUAUAUUAUAAUUAAUUAAGAAUUAAAAUUUUUUAUUAGAAAAAAUUAUUUAAUUGGGGUGAUUAAAAAAUUAAAAUAACUUUUUUUUUAUUUUAAUAUUUAUUUAUAAGUUAGAUGAUCCUAUUUUAUAGAUUAUAAGAAAAAAUUACCUUA
rnacentral:rRNA from 1 species